AGUAAAGCCCAACUACAAAAGCAAGCCACCAUUCCUCUCACUUAGAGGCUUGUCGGGUAAAAGGUCUCUCAGCGAGUCCAAGUAAGUCUCCUAAAACCCUCAUUUCUCUCGAUUUCUGCUCAGAAAUCGCCAUUUCUUUCUUUAGUUCCAACCAUUUCAUCGAUUGAUGGCGAAAGGAGAUUCGAAAUUCUCGUUUCUCAGAUGUGCAGAUUUUGAUUCUUUUCACAUGUUUUCGAGCUGCUAGAAGACCUUAUCAUUCAGAUCCAGAUCCAAAUCCAUUCUCUCUCUCUCUCUCUCUCUCUCUCUCUCUCUCUCUCUCGAUUGGAAGAAGGAGAGCUGCUAGAAGACCUCCUUAUCAUUCAGAUCCAGAUCCAAAUUAGUUCAAGGUCAAGUCGUAUUUAUGUGUAUUUAUGUGUUUGACAUGCGAAAGAAUCCAAGAGCUGUCUUGAAAUGAGGGUUGCAGAUUGGAAAAAGGCGAUGCCAAGAACAACCACCUAUUGAGUUCUCUAUUGCUCAGUUUUGGUUUCUAGAGUGACUACUUGUCGUCCAUGGGCACUGGUGCUAUAAGAGGAUUACCCAAAUGGAGGUUGAGGAAGAUCAUCUCCAUCCUCUCAAGCGACCAGCCUCCCUGCCCUUAGUUGUUUCUGUACAGCACAGCUGACAAGGUCAUUCCAACUAGGUCAGCAAAGUCUUUUAUUCAGGAGCAGAAGAAAUUUGGGAGAAAGGUGAAACCGAAUGCAAUGGUUAAGGACACAGCUUUCUUGGGGGCAUCGCUUUCUGAUCAUCUCAAACCUAACUUCAAUCCUUUUAUCAUGAAGAAACCCCAAACUGAAACUAAUACAAAAUUGGAUUAGUCCCAUCUUGUAGCUAGCAAGCCAGAGCUACCUGUUGAGGUUGCAGGGCCUGCUACGCACAAUUCGAAUGGAGAAUGCUAGUAGAGGCAAUGAUGACAUUAGCUUGGAAGCAGCAGAAGAUGGACGGGCAGUGUUAUCUCAGGGUCCGCCAAGCACGAUGGCACCGGUGAUGAUGGGCGCGACCAUGACUUUGUAUUAUUUGUGGAACCUAAUGUUGUGUAAUAGUUUGAUUGAGUUAAACUUUAAAUAGACUGUUGUUAACUGCUUUGUUGGUA